GCCCCCAUAGUUCAGUGGUAGAUCAGUCGCCUGGAUAGCGAAAGGUCCUCAGUUCAAGGCCGUGUGGAGGCA
rnacentral:tRNA from 1 species